rnacentral:tRNA from 1 species
UAAGAAGCGAUAUUAUUGCAAUCAAUUUCGACUUGAUCUUAGAUGAAUUCAUCCUUAUUUGUGA